ACUCCUACGGGAGGCAGCAGUGGGGAAUAUUGCACAAUGGGGGAAACCCUGAUGCAGCCAUGCCGCGUGUGUGAAGAAGGCCUUCGGGUUGUAAAGCACUUUCAGUAGGGAGGAAGGUAGUGUAGUUAACACCUGCAUUAUUUUGACGUACCUACAGAAGAAGCACCGGCUAACUCCUGCCAGCAGCCGCGGUAAUACGGAGGGUGUGAGCGUUAAUCGGAAUUACUGGGCGUAAAGCGCAUGCAGGCGGCUUGUUAAGUCAGAUGUGAAAGCCCGGGGCUUAACCUCGGAAUUGCAUUUGAAAACUGGCAAGGCUAGAGUCUUGUAGAGGGGGGU
rnacentral:rRNA from 1 species